rnacentral:rRNA from 1 species
CGUGAGGAACCUGCCUUGGAGAGGGGAAUAACACUCCGAAAGGAGUGCUAAUACCGCAUGAUGCAGUUGGGUCGCAUGGCUCUGACUGCCAAAGAUUUAUCGCUCUGAGAUGGCCUCGUGUCUGAUUAGCUAGUAGGCGGGGUAACGGCCCACCUAGGCGACGAUCAGUAGCCGGACUGAGAGGUUGACCGGCCACAUUGGGACUGAGACACGGCCCAG